AAAUAAAUCGUUACUGAAAGGGCAUUCCGUGAAACUACCCAUUCCACUGAAGUUGUGAAAUCUUGCAUCAUGUAAAUAAUUUCCACAUUUCUCUUUUAUAAUAAACUAAAGAUAUCCAAAUUAAUGAUUUUGGUGGGGGUGGGGGUAUGGGGGAAUGAUGAAUAGACAGGGCCCAAAGUGUUUACUUUGAAAAAAUUAGAGAGUGUUUAAAGCAGGUCCGAGUUGCCUCGAUACCACAGCUAGGAAUAAUAAAUAGGAUGUCGGUUCUAUUUUGUUGGGUUUUGGAACUGAGUCCAUGAUUAAGAGGGACAGCCAGGGGCAUUUGUAUUGUUCCGCUAGAGGUAAAAUUUUGGACCGGAGUAAGAUGGACCAGAGUGAAAGCAUUUGCCUAGAAUGUUUUCAUUCAUCAAGAAUGAGAGUCGGAGGUUUGAAUAUAAGAUAUGGUUGUAGUUCUGACCAUAAACAAUGCGGACUGGCGAUGCAGUGGCAUUAUUCCCAUGACCCGCUGGGCAGCUUCAAGGAAACCAAAUUCUUUGGGUUCUGGGGGAAGUAUGGUUGCAAAGCUGAAACUUAAAGGAAUUGAUGGAUAGGGCACCACCAGAAGUGGAGCCUUCAGCUUAUUUGACUCAAGAUGGAAAACCUCACCUGGCCUGGACGCGGACAGGGUUGACAGAUUGAUAGCUUUUUCUUGAUUCCCUGGGUGGUGGUGCAUGGCUGUUCUUGGUGGAGCAAUUUGGUUAAUUCCGAUAAUGAAUGAGACUUUGGUAUGCUAACUAGUUAUGCAACCCCUGAGAGGGCGGCGUCCCUCAACUUCUUAGAGGGACAAAUGGUGUUCAGCCACCCAAGAUUGAGCAAUAACAGGUCUGUGAUGCCCGUAGAUGUCCAGGGCUGCACGUGUAUUACACUGACUGGCUGUGUGUGUGCCUAUCCUACCCCAGCAGGUGUAGGUAACCCAUUGAAUCCCAUUUGUGAUGGGGAUGGGGAUUGCAGUUAUUCCCCAGGAGCAAGGAAUUCCCAGUAAGUGUGGGUCAUAAGCUUGUGUUAAGUCCCCGCCCUUUGGGAUCCCUGGGUGGCUCAGAGGUUUGGCGCCUGCCUUUGGCCCAGGGCACGAUCCUGGGGUCCCGGGAUUGAGUCCCAUGUCAGGCUCCCGCAUGGAGCCUGCUUCUCCCUCUGCUUGUGUCUCUGCCUCUCUCUCUCUCUCUCUCUCUCAUAAAUAAAUAAAUAAAUCUUUAAAAAAAAAAAAAAAAGUCCCUGCCCUUUGUAGACACUGCCCUCCCUUCUACAGAUUGGAUGGUUUAGUGAGGCCCUUGGAUUGGCCCUGCGGGGUGGGCCCAGGGCCUUGGUGGAGGGCUGAGAACAUGGUGGAAUGUGACUAUCUAGAGGAUGUAAAAGUCGUAACAAGGUUUCCAUAGGUAAACCUGAGGAAGGAUCAUUA
rnacentral:ncRNA from 1 species